rnacentral:tRNA from 1 species
GCCUGGGUGGCUCAAUUGGUUAAGCGUCUGACUUCAGCUCAGGUCAUGAUCUCACGGUUUGUGGGCUCAAACGCCACGUCAGGCU